CUUAUAAUUAGGGACGGAGGGAGU
rnacentral:miRNA from 1 species